rnacentral:rRNA from 1 species
GUCUAAAUAUACUUGAUAGUACCUUACUACUUGGAUAACCGUGGUAAUUCUAGAGCUAAUACAUGCUAAAAACCCAGACUUCGGAAUGGGUGUAUUUAUUAGAUAAAAAACCAAUGCCCUUCGGGGCUCCUUGGUGAUUCAUGAUAACUUAACGAAUCGCAUGGCCUUGUGCCGGCGAUGGUUCAUUCUAUACUCUGCCCUAUCAACUUUCGAUGGUAGGAUAGUGGCCUACCAUGGUUUCAACGGGUAACGGGGAAUUAGGGUUCUAUUCCGGAGAGGGAGCCUGAGAAACGGCUACCACAUCCAAGGAAGGCAGCAGGCGCGCAAAUUACCCAAUCCCGACACGGGGAGGUAGUGACAAUAAAUACUGAUCUUGGGCCAUUUUUGGUCUAAGAAUUGGAAUGAGUACAAUUUAAAUCCCUUAACGAGGAACAAUUGGAGGGCAAGUCUGGUGCCAGCAGCCGCGGUAAUUCCAGCUCCAAUAGCGUAUAUUAAAGUUGUUGCAGUUAAAAAGCUCGUAGUUGAACCUUGG